AGAGUUUGAUCCUGGCUCAGGAUGAACGCUGGCGGCAUGCCUAAUACAUGCAAGUCGAACGGACCGAAGGGAAAGCUUGCUUUUCCUGAAGUCAGUGGCGAACGGGUGAGUAACACGUAGGUAACCUGCCCAUGUGCCCGGGACAACGCCUGGAAACGGGUGCUAAAACCGGAUAGGUAGAGAGAUCGCAUGAACUUUCUAUUAAAGGGGCUACGGCCCUGAACAUGGAUGGACCUGCGGUGCAUUAGCUAGUUGGUGAGGUAACGGCCCACCAAGGCGACGAUGCAUAGCCGACCUGAGAGGGCGAACGGCCACAUUGGGACUGAGACACGGCCCAAACUCCUACGGGAGGCAGCAGUAGGGAAUUUUCGUCAAUGGGGGGAACCCUGAACGAGCAAUGCCGCGUGAGUGAAGACGGUCUUCGGAUUGUAAAGCUCUGUUGCGAGAGAAAAACGACACGGAUAGGGAAUGAUCCGUGGGUGAUGGUAUCUCGCCAGAAAGUCACGGCUAACUACGUGCCAGCAGCCGCGGUAAUACGUAGGUGGCGAGCGUUAUCCGGAAUGAUUGGGCGUAAAGGGUGCGUAGGCGGCCCGUUAAGUCUGGAGUCAAAGCCGGCAGCUCAACUGUCGUACGCUUUGGAAACUGGCGGGCUGGAGUGCAGAAGAGGGCGAUGGAACUCCAUGUGUAGCGGUG
rnacentral:rRNA from 1 species